GACGAACGCUGGCGGCGUGCUUAACACAUGCAAGUCGAGCGGAAAGGCCCUGCUUUUGUGGGGUGCUCGAGUGGCGAACGGGUGAGUAACACGUGAGUAACCUGCCCUUGACUUUGGGAUAACUUCAGGAAACUGGGGCUAAUACCGGAUAGGAGCUCCUGCUGCAUGGUGGGGGUUGGAAAGUUUCGGCGGUUGGGGAUGGACUCGCGGCUUAUCAGCUUGUUGGUGGGGUAGUGGCUUACCAAGGCUUUGACGGGUAGCCGGCCUGAGAGGGUGACCGGCCACAUUGGGACUGAGAUACGGCCCAGACUCCUACGGGAGGCAGAAGUGGGGAAUAUUGCACAAUGGGCGGAAGCCUGAUGCAGCAACGCCGCGUGCGGGAUGACGGCCUUCGGGUUGUAAACCGCUUUCGCCUGUGACGAAGCGUGAGUGACGGUAAUGGGUAAAGAAGCACCGGCUAACUACGUG
rnacentral:rRNA from 1 species